UAAAACUGUACGGCAACUGGAUGAUUUUUCUCUAAAAGUUGACAUCGGUUAGCGCCUAAGCACAUUUUGAGGACACCUGGUUGCAGUCCGUUGACAUUUGGAGAUGACGUUAUUAAGAAAUCGGGCGACAGCUGAGCAGCCACAAAGUGGCUCCUGCGACAGCUCUGUCUGGAUGAUGUGUAGGCUGAAUGUCUCCAGAAGGCGGCCGUCCAUAUGAAGUGCCACCGGCCGGUGGCCUAUAUAAAAGCAAGCCUUUCUGCAGGCCAGAUGACCCUUUAAUUGCCACCAUCUACAUCAUGACCACGCCAAUGUGGUACAUAUAUGACUAAAUUUUCUUUUAACGUCACAAGAAAAUAACUAAAUCAAUCUGCAAUUUUCUUACUUUGCACUAAUCAAAUAUAAAUGCCUGAAACCGCCAGAAGGGGGCGCACAAGGCUUGAUUCACUCGAGUAAAAGCUCCCAAUGAGGAAACAGCUCGACGGACUUUCUCCUUUCAGUGCGGGACAGCAAGUCAUCGAAGUGGGUCACAGAGAUAUGGAAGUACUGCUGAAAGCACAGUCAUUCAGAAGCAGCUCCUGCAGUAAAAGAUGUUUUCAUCCAACCUUGUUCUCUGGUGUGGUCAUUCAGGUCACUACACACAUACACUAAAGAGGAAAAAAACAGCCUCAUUACCAUCAAGGAAAAAAGGAGUAAAGAAUUGUUCCCAACUGUAGGACUUAAAGUUAGUCAUUUUGUCUGAUUUUGAUCAUGUCUGAACAUUUAUGAAUGAGUUUUUUUUUGUCUCUCUGCUUUGGUUACACUUUCUAACGUGGGAUGAAUGUGCUCAUUAGUGUGCCUCACCUUUGAAAAAUGCUGUAAACAAACAGCUUUAUAUCUUGGUAUUGCUUUUUUACUUCAUAAACAAGUUCAGGGUGGACUGUGACUUCAUGCUUUUUGUUGGUGCCAAAAUGAAAAAAAAAAAGCAUUGCACGUGUUUUCCAUUUAGCUUUAAACAUUUUUGAGUGUGUUUCUCAGAAAAGACCAACCUUUUCUCUUCACACUUUUUCCAGCCUUCCCAUAUUACUAUUUUAAUAAAAACAAGUCAGUUGUCAUCACUCGCUUUUCCCUAACAAUGUUGGCUCUCGGGCAGCUGUUUUUCAACAAGAAGUUCAACUUUGCUCAUUUGCCACAAAGCACAUAAUGCAAAUCCCACCUGCCUGCUGUCUAGUCAAAAUAAACGUGACACGAGAAAGGAAAGAGGGGCCCAGUAUGGGAUUAAAAAGUGAGCACACACUGAAACAAGACAAGAGAGGAUACAUACACAGUUUUUGUUGUAGACACGUUGCUUUAUAUUACGUCUGUUGGGAGCCCCUAAAUGUGACAGCUGCAAUAUGUCAAAGUUAUGGGUACAGUAAGGAAUACUUGGAAAAAAAAUGAUAAUUUGUACGUUGUGUAACUUUAGCUAAAUGUGUAAUGUCUUCUGUUUUCCCAGUAGUUGUGCCCGCUUUUUUUUUUCUGAGGAAGAGCAGCUCUGUGGAAAAAUAGCAAACAUAUGUCCAGCCUUUGGCUAUUAUUUGACUACCUGUCCUGGUCUGUGCUUUAUCUGCCCUCUUACGGUCUGACAUCACAGUAAGCCGGGCAGAUUAGCAUCGCAACUGCUGGCUUACCAGUUACCAUAUGAAAAAGGCAGGCUGUUCAGAAACGACAGAAUUUAGCUGCAGGCUUGGAUUGAAUUUUCAGCUAUUUAGUGCAAAGUAAAGCAUUACCUGUAGCAGUUGUUGUCAAACUUGUUAUAGCUGGCAAAGGCGAUGAGCACACCAAAUCCAGCUCCCAAUGAAUAGAAUAUUUGUGUGGCAGCAUCAAUCCAAACCUAAAGGUAGCAUAAUAGAAAAAAACAAAUAGAAAAAAGUAAUAAUUUUAAAUCAUGUUGGAGUUCAAAUUAAUGUUGUAUUAAUACUUCACAUAAAGGCAAAUAACUUCAACUUUGCAUUUAUUUUUAGCAAACAAAAAAUAUGCCUUUUGGACCCUCUCUCCACUCAGGAGGAGGGAUCCCUGCGUUCUCUGGCAAGACCAUGAGCCAGGGAUCACAUCGCAUCUGAGUCUGGGGGCUGCUGUGUCCCUGUGGUACAGGUUCUGCUCUUUGCCCUCAGGCGCUAGGCCACUUCCAACAGUGGGUGAGUCUGGUUAACCCAAGUUUACAACACUCUUCGGGGACAACCACUUCUCUUAGGUGUCCUUCUCCUGGGCGGGGUUGAGGUGCCCUUGUCUUGCCCUCCCCUGGACCUCCUGCGGGCUGGGUGGGUAGUUACCUGCAGCAUGGGGCGGGUCCCCCUUUGGGGGGGCCCUGGUUUGUGCCUGGGUUGGGGAGGGGGGAUGCUCAGAACUCCCAGGUGGUGGUGGGGACCAGUGUUGGGCCCCUUGGCAUUAGCAAAAAAUCUGCAAGCAAUAUCAGAGCUAUCCCUCUGUGCAGUUUUGAACCAGAUGCCAGCUCAGACAUAGAAAAUGAAAAUGUUCAUGGAUCUAUUUGUCUUCAAGUCAAGGAUUUAGAAUGGGAGCUGGGAGCCUUUGUCCACUCCAUGGAAGUUGCUGAUCACAAACCUGGACUUCUCUCAAACCACAGAUUUUCAUCUGCCCCUAAGCAAUAACAAUUUGAAUAAAGGAAUACUCAGAAACUCAAUUUUGAUCUUAAAUUAAACCUGCACACUUCCUACAGAAACGUUAUAUGCAUAUCCAACCUGAAGGACACCCAGCAACAGACCAGGGACACAAUAAGGGCAAAUCCAAAUUCUUCCCCUACCCCAUGGCUUCUCCCUACCCCUACAUUUAGCCCUCCAAACAGAGAGUUGUGGGACAAUAGUGGACGUUACUAAUCCUCAGUGACGUCAUCAGUAGGUCAUCUAUAUUAGCGCGAAGCUGCCAGCCGUUGGAAACUACAUUACAACAUCUGUUUUGUACCUUUAAAAAGUAAUGCUAAAUCAAAAAGUCGUUACUUAAAUUUAGAUCUAUACUUCUGUGCUUUGUAUGAAGAAAUGUGUUUCCCCUCCACAGCAUAGUGCAACGCGGAUCAUCCUAUCAAUCAACCAAUCAAGCUUUAUUUAUAAAAAGUGCUUUCAUGUGUUGCAGCUCAGAGCACUUUACAUUUAAAAACAGACAACAAAAAAGAGAAAAACAUUAAAACCAAUCCUCCCCUUUGCCCCUCCAGUCACACAUACACCCCAUUACCCCAAACAGACACACACGCAAAAAAAAA